AGUGAACGCUGGCGGUAGGCCUAACACAUGCAAGUCGAACGGCAGCACAGUAAGAGCUUGCUCUUACGGGUGGCGAGUGGCGGACGGGUGAGGAAUACAUCGGAAUCUACUUUUUCGUGGGGGAUAACGUAGGGAAACUUACGCUAAUACCGCAUACGACCUACGGGUGAAAGCAGGGGAUCUUCGGACCUUGCGCGAUUGAAUGAGCCGAUGUCGGAUUAGCUAGUUGGCGGGGUAAAGGCCCACCAAGGCGACGAUCCGUAGCUGGUCUGAGAGGAUGAUCAGCCACACUGGAACUGAGACACGGUCCAGACUCCUACGGGAGGCAGAGUGGGGAAUAUUGGACAAUGGGCGCAAGCCUGAUCCAGCCAUACCGCGUGGGUGAAGAAGGCCUUCGGGUUGUAAAGCCCUUUUGUUGGGAAAGAAAAGCAGCAGGUUAAUACCCCGCUGUUCUGACGGUACCCAAAGAAUAAGCACCGGCUAACUUCGUG
rnacentral:rRNA from 1 species